UCAGUAGCAACUUACCUUCUACUGUUAUGAGAACCAUAAAGUAAUAUUAAAUUGAAUCAAUUAACAAUUAACAAUUUGAUUCCCUUAAAUGAGAACCUUGAGUGCCUGCAUUUAAUUUAUACUGCUUUUUGGUAAAAUGUGCAACAUAGAUGUAUUUUUGAAUUUUAUAGUUUAUUGUACUUGAUAAUACUUUGUUAAACAAUCAAUUUAAUUUACUUAAUCUCAUUUAAAUCACCAAAUACAAAAUAUCAGAUUCAAAAAAGCAAUUGGUAACAAGUUAAAGUGACAAUUUGAGUUCAGAUUCGCAAUAGUAGAUCACUGCACUUCACCAUAAAUUCAUGUGGUUUGAGUGCUCAGUCCAGCUAUAUAAGUCCAGCUAUAUAAGUUUAAACACACCUAAUAUUCUGAAUUAGCCCAGAUCCAUAAAUGCUCACAAGAAGGAAAAUAUAUGCUGUUAGGCCUGUUACACCCUCUCCUGAGGGGAAGUUGCUACAAUGCAAUAUAUAUUGCAUUUAAACUACACCACAAAUAAUUUUUAAAAGGCUCUGAUGGCAGUGUUUGACCACACUGGUUUAAUGGAGCCAUACUUGGGUUUCUGUACCACAUGAUUAAUGGCAGGAAGUUGUUGGCCAGUAUGAUGACUCCAGUUGUUUGGGCAUGGCAGACACAAUGCAUCCUGACAUGGGGUUUAGACUGCCUGGAAGGUGCAAUUUGUCAUGAUUCUAGGACAAGCAGGCUGCUAGCCAUUCUUGUCUUUGAGGAAGGACUACCUGCCUUACCAACCUUUUGCAGUAAGCUUCUCUCCUCCACUGAUUGGGCAUGGUUGUUGCAAAGUAUCUCUUUUCCUAUAUUUUGUGUGUUCGGAUGGUCCUUUGUUAGGCUAGAAGUUUUACGUUGAUGAAGUAUAUUAUACUAUUCCUUUGUUUUUUGCAGUUUGUCACAGCUUGGGCAGGUAUACAGUACAGGAUCUUGGGAUUUGGACACUGGCCUUUGACACAGCCCUAACCACGUAAUUGCCUACAGAGAAGAAGAAUGUCAAGAAGUUUAACUGUUGGUUUGCAUUCUCUGGAUCUUCCGGCCUCCGGAUUACUGUUGUUCGAGUAUGUCUGUCAAUAAGAUGUCAAGAUGAGAUGUGCCUAAUUCUCGCACUGGUUGAUUUUGAGUGUUGCAAGCUCAUCAAAUAAAGUUGUGCCUUUUUCUAACCCAAAA